rnacentral:rRNA from 1 species
UGCAAGUCGAACGGUAACGCGGGGCAACCUGGCGACGAGUGGCGAACGGGUGAGUAAUGCAUCGGAACGUGCCCAGUAGUGGGGGAUAGCCCGGCGAAAGCCGGAUUAAUACCGCAUACGACCUACGGGUGAAAGGGGGGGAUCGCAAGACCUCUCGCUAUUGGAGCGGCCGAUGUCAGAUUAGGUAGUUGGUGGGGUAAAGGCCCACCAAGCCUUCGAUCUGUAGCUGGUCUGAGAGGACGACCAGCCACACUGGGACUGAGACACGGCCCAGACUCCUACGGGAGGCAGCAGUGGGGAAUUUUGGACAAUGGGGGCAACCCUGAUCCAGCCAUGCCGCGUGCGGGAAGAAGGCCUUCGGGUUGUAAACCGCUUUUGUCAGGGAAGAAACGCUUUGAGCUAAUACCUCGAAGUGAUGACGGUACCUGAAGAAUAAGCACCGGCUAACUACGUGCCAGCAGCCGCGGUAAUACGUAGGGUGCAAGCGUUAAUCGGAAUUACUGGGCGUAAAGCGUGCGCAGGCGGUUGUGCAAGACAGGUGUGAAAUCCCCGGGCUUAACCUGGGAACUGCACUUGUGACUGCAUAACUGGAGUGCGGCAGAGGGGGAUGGAAUUCCGCGUGUAGCAGUGAAAUGCGUAGAUAUGCGGAGGAACACCGAUGGCGAAAGCAAUCCCCUGGGCCUGCACUGACGCUCAUGCA